rnacentral:rRNA from 1 species
CAAUACGUCAGCGGCAGACGGGUGAGUAACGCGUGGGAACAUACCUUUUGGUUCGGAACAACCCAGGGAAACUUGGGCUAAUACCGGAUAAGCCCUUACGGGGAAAGAUUUAUCGCCGAAAGAUUGGCCCGCGUCUGAUUAGCUAGUUGGUGAGGUAACGGCUCACCAAGGCGACGAUCAGUAGCUGGUCUGAGAGGAUGAUCAGCCACAUUGGGACUGAGACACGGCCCAAACUCCUACGGGAGGCAGCAGUGGGGAAUAUUGGACAAUGGGCGCAAGCCUGAUCCAGCCAUGCCGCGUGAGUGAUGAAGGAGCUAGGGUUGUAAAGCUCUUUUGUGCGGGAAGAUAAUGACGGUACCGCAAGAAUAAGCCCCGGCUAACUUCGUGCCAGCAGCCGCGGUAAU